rnacentral:rRNA from 1 species
AUUGAACGCUGGCGGCAGGCUUAACACAUGCAAGUCGAGCGGGGUGAUGGUGCUUGCACUAUCACUUAGCGGCGGACGGGUGAGUAAUGCUUAGGAAUCUGCCUAUUAGUGGGGGACAACAUCUCGAAAGGGAUGCUAAUACCGCAUACGUCCUACGGGAGAAAGCAGGGGACCACUUGUGACCUUGCGCUAAUAGAUGAGCCUAAGUCGGAUUAGCUAGUUGGUGGGGUAAAGGCCUACCAAGGCGACGAUCUGCAGCGGGUCCGAGAGGAUGAUCCGCCACACUGGGACUGAGACACGGCCCGGACUCCUACGGGAGGCAGCAGUGGGGAAUAUUGGACAAUGGGGGGAACCCUGAUCCAGCCAUGCCGCGUGUGUGAAGAAGGCCUUAUGGUUGUAAAGCACUUUAAGCGAGGAGGAGGCUCUUUUGGUUAAUACCCAAGAUGAGUGGACGUUACUCGCAGAAUAAGCACCGGCUAACUCUGUGCCAGCCGCCGCCGUAA